UACAGAGGUGGCAAGCGUUGUUCGGAAUUACUGGGCGUAAAGGGCGCGUAGGCGGCUUUUUAAGUCAGACGUGAAAUCCCCCGGCUUAACCUGGGAACUGCGUCGGAUACUGGAUGGCUUGAAUUCGGGAGAGGGAUGCAGAAUUCCAGGUGUAGCGGUGAAAUGCGUAGAUAUCUGGAGGAAUACCGGUGGCGAAGGCGGCAUCCUGGACCGACAUUGACGCUGAUGAGCGAAAGCUAGGGGAGCAAACGGG
rnacentral:rRNA from 1 species